rnacentral:rRNA from 1 species
AUGCCCCUUGAGCUCCUUCACUUGGAUCUCUUUGGACCUCCAUCUUAUGAUAGCUUGGGAGGGAGGAGGUAUUGCCUUGUCAUUGUCGAUGAUUAUACAAGAUUUGCCUUCUCGGUGAGCGCCUUCAUCGCCUCCGUCGGCUUUCUCGUGCGCUUGUCACCGACGGGAGCAAGGGAAAGGCCAGCAUGUCGCCAUAGUGACCGUCGCGGCCUUGCCACCGGUCGCUGUAGACGGCGCACCGGUCUGGAGCAAGUUUUUUAUUUAUUCCCAACCUCUUUCUUGACGAGCGGGGGAGGGGGGGGUCCAUUCCAAUGCCGUCGCACCCGACAGGGUAGCGGAGGAGCCUUCGGAUCUAUUCCAGCCGGAAUCGGGGGCUGUGGUGGUGCCUCGGGCGGUAGUGGAGACGGCCGAAAAUUAUCCUGA